GACGAACGCUGGCGGCGUGCUUAACACAUGCAAGUCGAACGGAAAGGCCCUGCUUUUGUGGGGUGCUCGAGUGGCGAACGGGUGAGUAACACGUGAGUAACCUGCCCUUGACUUUGGGAUAACUUCAGGAAACUGGGGCUAAUACCGGAUAGGAGCUCCUGCUGCAUGGUGGGGGUUGGAAAGUUUCGGCGGUUGGGGAUGGACUCGCGGCUUAUCAGCUUGUUGGUGGGGUAGUGGCUUACCAAGGCUUUGACGGGUAGCCGGCCUGAGAGGGUGACCAGCCACAUUGGGACUGAGAUACGGCCCAGACUCCUACGGGAGGCAGCAGUGGGAAUAUUGCACAAUGGGCGGAAGCCUGAUGCAGCAACGCCGCGUGCGGGAUGACGGCCUUCGGGUUGUAAACCGCUUUCGCCUGUGACGAAGCGUGAGUGACGGUAAUGGGUAAAGAAGCACCGGCUAACUACGUG
rnacentral:rRNA from 1 species